GAUGAACGCUAGCGGCAGGCUUAACACAUGCAAGUCGAGGGGCAGCACGGGUAGCAAUACCUGGUGGCGACCGGCGCAAGGGUGCGUAACGCGUGAGCAACAUGCCCUAUACAGGGGGAUAAUCCAGGGAAACUUGGUCUAAUAUCCCAUAGCAUUUAGAGGAGGCAUCUUCACUAAAUUAAAGCUUCGGUGGUAUAGGAUUGGCUCGCGUGACAUUAGCUAGAUGGUGAGGUAACGGCCCACCAUGGCUAUGAUGUCUAGGGGUUCUGAGAGGAAGACCCCCCAACUGGGACUGAGACACGGCCCAGACUCCUACGGGAGGCAGCAGUGAGGAAUAUUGGACAAUGGAUGGAAAUCUGAUCCAGCCAUGCCGCGUGCAGGAAGACGGCCCUAGUGGGUUGUAAACUGCUUUUAAUGGGAGCAAUAAGGUUUACGAGUAGACCGAUGAGAGUACCAUAUGAAUAAGCAUCGGA
rnacentral:rRNA from 1 species